rnacentral:rRNA from 1 species
UACGUAGGGUGCGAGCGUUGUCCGGAAUUAUUGGGCGUAAAGGGCUCGUAGGCGGUUUGUCGCGUCGGGAGUGAAAUCCACUGGCUUAACUGGUGGCUUGCUUUCGAUACGGGCAGACUGGAGGUAUGCAGGGGAGAACGGAAUUCCUGGUGUAGCGGUGAAAUGCGCAGAUAUCAGGAGGAACACCGGUGGCGAAGGCGGCGCUCUGGACCGAGACUGACGCUGAGGCGCGAAAGCGUGGGGAGCAAACAGG